rnacentral:rRNA from 1 species
UGAACACUAGCGGCAGGCCUAAUACAUGCAAGUCGAGCGGCAAGUCGAGGAGUAAUCUAAGACCUAGAGCGGCGCACGGGGUNCGUAACGCGUAUGCAACUACCUUAUACUGGGGGGAUAGCCCGGAGAAAUCUGGAUUAAUACCCCAUGGCACAUAUUGAUGGCAUCUGAGAUAUGUUAAAGAUUUAUUGGUAUAAGAUGGGCAUGCGUCUGAUUAGCUAGUUGGCGGUGUAACGGACCACCAAGGCGACGAUCAGUAGGGGUUCUGAGAGGAAGGUCCCCCACACUGGUACUGAGACACGGACCAGACUCCUACGGGAGGCAGCAGUGAGGAAUAUUGGACAAUGGGCGCAAGCCUGAUCCAGCCAUGCCGCGUGCAGGAUGACGGUCCUAUGGAUUGUAAACUGCUUUUGUACAGGAAGAAACACUCCCUCGCGAGGGAGCUUGACGGUACUGUAAGAAUAAGGAUCGGCUAACUCCGUG